CGCGAAUCGCCCUUCGGGGCGCACCAGGCGCGAAAACUUUACAACGCUGGCAACAGCGAUAAGGGGACCUCGAGUGCCAGGAUACAAUCUUGGCUGUCGUGAUGCCUAAAAAGCAUUACAUAGCAAGGGCCGGGCAAGACCGGUGCCAGCCGCCGCGGUAACACCGGCGGCUCGAGUGGUAACCGCUAUUAUUGGGUCUAAAGGGUCUGUAGCCGGCCGGAUAAGUCUCUUGGGAAAUCCAGCAGCUCAACUGUUGGGCUUCCAGGGGAUACUGUUCGGCUCGAGGCCGGGAGAGGUGAGAGGUACUUCAGGGGUAGGGGUGAAAUCUUGUAAUCCUUGAAGGACCACCAGUGGCGAAGGCGUCUCACCAGAACGGUCCUGACGGCAAGGGACGAAAGCUAGGGGCACGAACCGGAUUAGAUACCCGGGUAGUCCUAGCCGUAAACGAUACUCGCUAGGUGUCAGCCACGGUGCGACCGUGGUUGGUGCCGUAGGGAAGCCGUGAAGCGAGCCACCUGGGAAGUACGGCCACAAGGCUGAAACUUAAAGGAAUUGGCGGGGGAGCAC
rnacentral:rRNA from 1 species